UAACUACCCCUACUUUGUGCCGUAAAAAUCAUUCAGUAUUACAAAAAAAAAAUAAUAUAAAGACUUUUAUGUAUAAUAUAUCAUUUGAAAUUUUUUACUAUUUUCUAUUGUUUACAUCAAUGAUGCUGUUGAUUCAUAAAAUAGUAAAAUCACAUAAUUUUGUUUGUAUUGGAAAAUAUACUGCAAGAUAGAUAAUUAUUCGUCACUAAAACAUUUCUCUUAUGCUGUCUGUUCCUCUUGUCAUGUCAAGAACAAUAUUUACUCUACACAUGAAUUAUAAUCUUAGAAUUAUUUUUUACUUAACUAGUGAAUGCAAAAACAUUCACGGUUCAGGCAUACUGGUGUUCCAUGACGUAGGAUACAGUGAGUAAAACAAUCAUAGAAGUAUCUACAAUUGGAAUCUGUGAUUCAAAACAAGAAUAAUUGAGUGAUAUCAAAAAUGGUUAACAAAUAAUAUACUAAUUCAAGAAGAAAACACUUGAAAAUGGUGAGAAGAAAAAGCUUACCUUUAUCAGCAUUUGAUGGAACAAGAAAUAGAGAAAGGAAAAUUAUGAGAGCAUAAACAAACUUUAAAAUUUUAGUCAUUUGUAUUUGUAUGUAACAAAGAAAAACAAAACACAAUUCAAUCACUUUAUUUUUUUAUCGGACAAUUCUAUCACUUUAUAUAGUGUAAGAAAAUCU
rnacentral:lncRNA from 1 species